GCCUAACACAUGCAAGUCGAGGGGUAACAGAAGUAGCAAUACUUGCUGACGACCGGCGCACGGGUGAGUAACGCGUAUGCAACCUACCUUUGACUGGAGAAUAGCCCGAAGAAAUUCGGAUUAAUGCUCCAUGAGACCACAAUACCGCAUGAUAUAGUGGUAAAAGCUCCGGCGGUCAAAGAUGGGCAUGCGUGCCAUUAGUUAGUUGGUGAGGUUACGGCUCACCAAGACAACGAUGGCUAGGGGGUCUGAGAGGAUGAUCCCCCACACUGGUACUGAGACACGGACCAGACUCCUACGGGAGGCAGCAGUGAGGAAUAUUGGUCAAUGGACGCAAGUCUGAACCAGCCAUGCCGCGUGCAGGAUGAAUGCCCUAUGGGUUGUAAACUGCUUUUCUACAAGAAGAAACUUCCUGAUGUAUCAGGAACUGACGGUAUUGUAGGAAUAAGCAUCGGCUAACUCCGUGCCAGCAGCCGCGGUAAUACGGAGGAUGCAAGCGUUAUCCGGAUUCAUUGGGUUUAAAGGGUGCGUAGGCGGGGUAGUAAGUCAGUGGUGAAAGCCUGCGGCUUAACCGUAGAAUUGCCAUUGAUACUGCUAUUCUUGAGUGCAGUUGAGGUAGGCGGAAUGUGUAAUGUAGCGGUGAAAUGCUUAGAUAUUACACAGAACACCGAUUGCGUAGGCAGCUUACUAAACUGUAACUGACGCUGAGGCACGAAAGCGUGGGGAGCGAACAGGAUUAGAUACCCUGGUAGUCCACGCAGUAAACGAUGCUCACUCGCUGUUGGCAAUAGAUCGUCAGCGGCUAAGGGAAACCGAUAAGUGAGCCACCUGGGGAGUACGAUCGCAAGAUUUGAAACUCAAAGGAAUUGACGGGGGCCCGCACAAGCGGUGGAACAUGUGGUUUAAUUCGAUGAUACGCGAGGAACCUUACCUGGGCUUAAAUGUACGAUGCAUAAGUGUGAAAGCACUUUUUCCUUCGGGACUUUGUACAAGGUGCUGCAUGGUUGUCGUCAGCUCGUGCCGUGAGGUGUCGGGUUAAGUCCCAUAACGAGCGCAACCCCUAUUGUUAGUUACCAGCGCGCAAAGGCGGGGACUCUAGCGAAACUGCCGGUGUAAACCGCGAGGAAGGUGGGGAUGACGUCAAAUCAGCACGGCCCUUAUGUCCAGGGCUACACACGUGUUACAAUGGCCGGUACAGCGGGCAGCGAGGCAGCGAUGCCGAGCGAAUCUCGAAAGCCGGUCCCAGUUCGGAUUGGAGUCUGCAACCCGACUCCAUGAAGGUGGAAUCGCUAGUAAUCGCGCAUCAGCCAUGGCGCGGUGAUACGUUCCCGGGCCUUGUACACACCGCCCGUCAAGCCAUGGAAGUCUGGGGUGCC
rnacentral:rRNA from 1 species